rnacentral:rRNA from 1 species
GACGAACCGUGCGAACGUUGUUCGGAAUCACUGGGCUUAAAGGGCGCGUAGGCGGGCUGCCAAGUCUGGGGUGAAAUCCCACGGCUCAACCGUGGAACUGCCUCGGAUACUGGCGGUCUCGAGGGAGGUAGGGGCAUGCGGAACUGUGGGUGGAGCGGUGAAAUGCGUUGAUAUCCACAGGAACUCCGGUGGCGAAAGCGGCGUGCUGGACCUCUUCUGACGCUGAGGCGCGAAAACUAGGGAGCAAACGGG